UUCCUUGGUAUCAAAACCUGUGGAAAGAAAGGAGCAAGAGGAGUCGGAAAGAAAAAUUGAGCUCUGAUGCAUGUCCUCUAAUAGCGUCGACCGAUGCCCCGUGGAGAGCGAGAGCAAGAAUGGCUCUCCAGAUUUGUCUUGCACUGGGCCCAGGUGGUCAGGUCCUGCAAUGACCAACCAAUCACUGGCUAUAGGUAUCCCAGGCAAAUCCAAGAUCUUAACUGAAUCAGUGCUCUGCUGGUUGAGGCAAUCCUGAAAGGAGCAAAACCGAAGGAUUCUCCCUCCAGCUCCCCAGCUGGUCUUCCAGUAUUCUGACACCAGUAUUCAGUGAGGCUACAACUUCAUUCUGAGCCACCGAAUGGAUUGAUGAACAAUUCUGUGUGAAAACUGCGAAGCCAAAAGUCAUAUUGGUGUAGUUCCAAUCUUUUGAGGAAGUGUUAUCUAUUACGAUUACAUGUUUUAUCCAUCAAAGCAUGUUCCAAAUAACUCUUGGCUGUUUCCAGAAGUCAAAUGCAUCCUUAAGGAUGAAGAUUUUCCAUUACUGAAGAUAAUCGAAGUCAUUUGACGUAACUCUGAAAGCUAUGCCACAACAGGAGAUCCCAAUGGUUUUGAACAAUGAAUGCAGUGUUCAAAUGCAAUGCCAUCCAAGGCACGGAUGCACAGAUGCAAAGAUUGUAGCAUCCGUGUCGACAGUUUUGGGAGGGGGAAAAAAACACAUUAAUUUGGAUUAUAAAUUCUACCUUG